rnacentral:rRNA from 2 species
UGCCAGUGAUAAACUGGAGGAAGGUGGGGAUGACGUCAAGUCAUCAUGGCCCUUACGACCAGGGCUACACACGUGCUACAAUGGCAUAUACAAAGAGAAGCGACCUCGCGAGAGCAAGCGGACCUCAUAAAGUAUGUCGUAGUCCGGAUUGGAGUCUGCAACUCGACUCCAUGAAGUCGGAAUCGCUAGUAAUCGUGGAUCAGAAUGCCACGGUGAAUACGUUCCCGGGCCUUGUACACACCGCCCGUCACACCAUGGGAGUGGGUUGCAA